rnacentral:rRNA from 1 species
CCUACGGGUGGCAGCAGUGGGGAAUAUUGGGCAAUGGGCGCAAGCCUGACCCAGCAACGCCGCGUGAAGGAAGAAGGCUUUCGGAUUGUAAACUUCUUUUCUCAGGGACGAAGAAAGUGACGGUACCUUAUGAAUAAGCCUCGGCUAACUACGUGCCAGCAGCCGCGGUAAUACGUAGGUGGCAAGCGUUAUCCGGAAUUACUGGGGGUAAAGGGCGUGUAGGCGGGAGUGCAAGUCAGUAGUGAAACCCAUGGGCUCAACCCAUAGACUGCAUCUAAAACUGUACUUCUUGAGUGCUGGAGAGGCAAUCGGAAUUCCGUGUGUAGCGGUGAAAUGCGUAGAUAUACGGAGGAACACCAGUGGCGAAGGCGGAUUGCUGGACAGUAACUGACGCUGAGGCGCGAAAGCGUGGGGAGCAAACAGGAUUAGAUACCCUUGUAGUC